UAAUCUCACUGUAACCCCCUCCAGGUCUCUGUUCUCCUACUAAUCUCACUGUAACCCCCCUCCAGGUCUCUGUUCUCCUACUAAUCUCACUACAACCCCCUCCAGGUCUCUGUUCUCCUACUAAUCUCACUGUAACCCCCCUCCAGGUCUCUGUUCUCCUACUAAUCUCGCUGUAACCCCCCUCCAGGUCUCUGUUCUCCUACUAAUCUCACUGUAAUCCCUCCAGGUCUCUGUUCUCCUACUAAUCUCACUGUAACCCCCUCCAGGUCUCUGUUCUCCUACUAAUCUCACUGUAACCCCCUCCAGGUCUCUGUUCUCCUACUAAUCUCACUGUAACCUCUUCCAG
ensembl:lncRNA